AAUGACAUUUCGUCAACAACAAAGGUGCUGUUAGAUAAUGAAAAAACUUUCCAAUGGAAUUUUUCUCAACGUUCACCACGGAGAAGUACUGAAUUGGGUCAGCUGUAUCAUUGGUCGUCCAUGGAAAAUAAUAGAGCUUGUUCUGUACAAUAAUAGAGAGCGUGUUAGUUCAGUAGAAACUAUAGUUCAAACGAUGACUAAUCAUCAAAUAAAUGACUGCUGCUAUGAUUACUGACGCAACGUCCCGAUGUUCACCAUGGCAGUGGACAGAUAAAGUGGAGCCAGACAGACGUGACCUACAAAAACAUUCGAGUGAAAGUGCGCGAAUGGCACAGCUGGGAUAGACAAUGUGACAGAGACGACAAAUGAAGUUGCCAAUAUACAAAUAAGUUAACAGACUGAAAAAACAAAUAGUCGUAAACACCUAUACGUUUGAGUAAGCAAGACGUAUGGAAAUUAAAAAGAAUCCGACAUAAAAUCUUCCAACUUA